rnacentral:rRNA from 1 species
GGACAGAAAGACCCUAUGAAGCUUUACUGUAGUUUGGAAUUGGGUUCGGGCUCUUCUUGCGCAGCCUAGGUGGGAGGCUAUGAAGAUAAACUUUUGGGUUUAUUGGAGCCAACAGUGAGAGACCACUCUAGAGGAGCUAGAAUUCUAAUGGCGUUCCUUGAAGCAGGACGCUUGACAGUUUCAGAUGGGCAGUUUGACUGGGGCGGUCACCUCCUAAAAGGUAACGGAGGUGUGCAAAGGUUCCCUCAGGCUGGACGGAAAUCAGCCGUAGAGUGUAAAGGCAGAAGGGAGCUUGACUGCAAGACCUACAAGUCGAGCAGGGGCGAAAGCCGGCCUUAGUGAUCCGACGGUUCCGAGUGGGAGGGCCGUCGCUAAACGGAUAAAAGUUACUCUAGGGAUAACAGGCUGA